UACGGGGGGGGCAAGCGUUGUUCGGAAUUACUGGGCGUAAAGGGCUCGUAGGCGGCCAACUAAGUCGGAUGUGAAAUCCCCAGGCUCAACCUGGGAACUGCAUCCGAUACUGGAUGGCUUGAAUUCGGGAGAGGGAUGCAGAAUUCCAGGUGUAGCGGUGAAAUGCGUAGAUAUCUGGAGGAAUACCGGUGGCGAAGGCGGCAGUCCUGGACCGACAUUGACGCUGAGGAGCGAAAGCCAGGGGAGCAAAGCGGG
rnacentral:rRNA from 1 species